rnacentral:rRNA from 1 species
AGCCAUGCCGCGUGUAUGAAGAAGGCCUUCGGGUUGUAAAGUACUUUCAGCAGUGAGGAAGGCGGAGUCGUUAAUAGCGGCCUCGUUUGACGUUAGCUGCAGAAGAAGCACCGGCUAACUCCGUGCCAGCAGCCGCGGUAAUACGGAGGGUGCGAGCGUUAAUCGGAAUUACUGGGCGUAAAGCGCAUGCAGGUGGUUUGUUUAAGUCAGAUGUGAAAGCCCGGGGCUCAACCUCGGAAUUGCAUUUUGAAACUGGCAGACUAGAGUACUGUAGAGGGGGUAGAAUUUCAGGUGUAGCGGUGAAAUGCGUAGAGAUCUGAAGGAAUACCGGUGGCGAAGGCGGCCCCCUGGACAGAUACUGACACUCAGAUGCGAAAGCGUGGGGAGCAAACAGGAUUAGAUACCCUGGUAG